rnacentral:lncRNA from 1 species
UGUUGAAGCAUCCCUGGCACUUCACAUCCUGAAACCCAAAACGCAAAAGUAAGUUAAUUACACAAUUCUGCACUACCUUUCUAAAUACGUGCUCGACGCUAAAAGAAAGAAAGACUGCAGACGAUGACCCCUCCCCAAAUGCUAAUCAGAUGGUAAGUUCAUAAUUCUAAAAAAUCCAAACUUUCCGACAGCCAACGCACGUUUACAUCCUUAUCAAAGACCAAAUCAUUAACCACAACAAUUUAACAAACACA